CUACGGGCGGCAGCAGUGGGGAAUAUUGCACAAUGGGCGCAAGCCUGAUGCAGCCAUGCCGCGUGUAUGAAGAAGGCCUUCGGGUUGUAAGGUACUUUCAGCGGGGAGGAAGGGAGUAAAGUUAAUACCUUUGCUCAUUGACGUUACCCGCAGAAGAAGCACCGGCUAACUCCGUGCCAGCAGCCGCGGUAAUACGGAGGGUGCAAGCGUUAAUCGGAAUUACUGGGCGUAAAGCGCACGCAGGCGGUUUGUUAAGUCAGAUGUGAAAUCCCCGGGCUCAACCUGGGAAGUGCAUCUGAUACUGGCAAGCUUGAGUGUCGUAGAGGGGGGUGGAAUUCCAGGUGUAGCGGUGAAAUGCGUAGAGAUCUGGAGGAAUACCGGUGGCGAAGGCGGCCCCCUGGACGAAGACUGACGCUCAGGUGCGAAAGCGUGGGGAGCAAACAGGAUUAGAUACCCGAGUAGUC
rnacentral:rRNA from 1 species